GGAAAGAUGGCUGAGCUGGUCUAAGGCGCACGACUGGAAAUCGUGUGUGCCCUAUAAAGGCACCGAGGGUUCGAAUCCCUCUCUUUCCGCCA
rnacentral:tRNA from 2 species